CGUGUAGGCGGUUGGUCAAGUCGGUUGUGAAAGCCCGAGGCUCAGCCUCGGAAGUGCAUCCGAAACUAGCCAGCUAGAGCGCGAUAGAGGAGGGUGGAAUUCCUGGUGUAGCGGUGGAAUGCGUAGAUAUCAGGAGGAACACCGGCGGCGAAGGCGGCCCUCUGGGUCGUUGCUGACGCUGAGACGCGAAAGCGUGGGGAGCAAACAGGAUUAGAUACCCUGGUAGUCCACGCCUUAAACGAUGGGUACUAGGUGUUCGGGGUGUUGACCCCCUGAGUGCCGCAGUUAACGCAUUAAGUACCCCGCCUGGGGACUACGGCCGCAAGGUUAAA
rnacentral:rRNA from 1 species